rnacentral:rRNA from 1 species
UUUUAUUUGAGAGUUUGAUCCUGGCUCAGGAUGAACGCUGGCGGCGUGCCUAACACAUGCAAGUUGAGCGAUUUACUUCGGUAAAGAGCGGCGGACGGGUGAGUAACGCGUGGGUAACCUACCCUGUACACACGGAUAACAUACCGAAAGGUAUGCUAAUACGGGAUAAUAUAUUUGAGAGGCAUCUCUUAAAUAUCAAAGGUGAGCCAGUACAGGAUGGACCCGCGUCUGAUUAGCUAGUUGGUAAGGUAACGGCUUACCAAGGCGACGAUCAGUAGCCGACCUGAGAGGGUGAUCGGCCACAUUGGAACUGA